rnacentral:rRNA from 1 species
CCUACGGGAGGCAGCAGUGGGGAAUAUUGCACAAUGGGGGAAACUCUGAUGCAGCGACGCCGCGUGCGUGAAGAAGUAUUUCGGUGUGUAAAGCUCUAUCAGCAGGGAAGAAAAUGACGGUACCUGAUUAAGAAGCCCCGGCUAACUACGUGCCAGCAGCCGCGGUAAUACGUAGGGGGCAAGCGUUAUCCGGAUUUACUGGGUGUAAAGGGAGCGUAGACGGGAGCACAAGUCUGGAGUGAAAUGCCGGGGCUUAACCCCGGAACUGCUUUGGAAACUGUGCAGCUAGAGUGCAGGAGAGGUAAGUGGAAUGCCUAGUGUAGCGGUGAAAUGCGUAGAGAUUAGGAGGAACACCAGUGGCGAAGGCGGCUUACUGGACUGUAACUGACGUUGAGGCUCGAAAGCGUGGGGAGCAAACAGGAUUAGAUACCCGGGUAGUC